GACACCACUCGCCAGCCUCUCUUUGUUUCCUUCGGGAAGCCGAGGGAGGCCAGCGGACUCUGCGUGUUCCGGAGCUCCCGACGCCUUCAUUGCGCGUCCGGGAAACGCUCCGAGUGCACCGAAUCUCGUGAACGAAACCUCUCUUCUGCCUGCGGCCUUGGCUGCGCAGAGUUGUUGACGGCGCUCGUACCCCUACUUACGUAUGGGUUCGGCGACUCUCGGCUCGAUAAAAAGCGCGGCCCUGCGUCCCUGCCGAGGAGGUGGUGGUGUUUUUCCGGUGGGCCUUGCGGCCGUCCCUCCGGGUUUUACUACUUUCGUUCG
rnacentral:rRNA from 1 species